rnacentral:rRNA from 1 species
AUUGAACGCUGGCGGCAUGCCUUACACAUGCAAGUCGAACGGUAACAGGUCUUCGGAUGCUGACGAGUGGCGAACGGGUGAGUAAUACAUCGGAACGUGCCCAGACGUGGGGGAUAACGAGGCGAAAGCUUUACUAAUACCGCAUACGAUCUAAGGAUGAAAGCAGGGGACCGCAAGGCCUUGUGCGUUUGGAGCGGCCGAUGGCAGAUUAGGUAGUUGGUGGGAUAAAAGCUUACCAAGCCGACGAUCUGUAGCUGGUCUGAGAGGACGACCAGCCACACUGGGACUGAGACACGGCCCAGACUCCUACGGGAGGCAGCAGUGGGGAAUUUUGGACAAUGGGCGAAAGCCUGAUCCAGCAAUGCCGCGUGCAGGAUGAAGGCCUUCGGGUUGUAAACUGCUUUUGUACGGAACGAAAAGGCUCUGGCUAAUACCUGGGGCACAUGACGGUACCGUAAGAAUAAGCACCGGCUAACUACGUG